rnacentral:rRNA from 1 species
GGGGGGGGGGGGGGGGGGGGUGGGCACAGGCAAGGCGGGGGGGGGGGGCGGGCGUGGGUGGGGGGCGCGGGUGGCGGACGGGUGAGUAACACGUGGGUAACCUGGCCUUGCCUUUGGGAUGACGUCAGGAAAGUGGGGCUAAUACCGGAUCGGAGAUCCGGCUGCAUGGUGGGGGUUGGAAAGUUUCGGCGGUUGGGGAUGGACUCGCGGCGUAUCAGCUUGUUGGUGGGGUAGUGGCUUACCACGGCUUUGCCGGGUAGCCGGCCUGGGAGGGUGACCGGCCACAUUGGGACUGAGCUACGGCCCAGACUCCUCCGGGAGGCAGCAGUGGGGAAUAUUGCACAAUGGGCGGAAGCCUGAUGCAGCAACGCCGCGUGCGGGAUGACGGCCUUCGGGUUGUAAACCGCUUUCGCCUGUGACGAAGCGUGAGUGACGGUAAUGGGUAAAGAAGCACCGGCUAACUACGUG